CAACUCAAAAGAGAUGCGGUAUAAAAGAGGAUUUGAAUGGAGACCUUGAAUCCUAGGCUGACAAGUCUGGACUUGAGUACAAAGAUAUAUUUUAACAUUUUCCUGAGCCACCGUUUGCCUAGGCUGCAUGACAUACCAAUUCUUAUGGAAGGACUCAGUGCUCACCAUCCUCGAAAACCUGAUUCAAAACCUAUCUUGCCAUUCUUGCGUGCUCCUAAAAGAAGAGAAAAAGGCCUCCAGUUAGAGGCCAUCAACAAAAAUGCUGAAUGGGUCAUCGUAUUUCCUAAAAGUCAAGAACAAAGAAGACCCAGACAAGGCUUCUGAGAACUAUGGAGACGUAUCCAGAUGCCACACUGAAAAUACAAUUCCACCACCCAUCCAUUAUUUGCUCAGGCAUAUAACAAGACAUCUCUUUUCACUGGUUUCUCUUCUGCCACCUGUUAAAUUAGAAAAACAACUAGUCUUAUAAAUGAAUAAAGGUGCUUAUUAUAGAUACAUACCACUUCCCAAGCAAAGAAAAUCAGGCCUUAGAAGAAAGUAUAAGGGAAGGUAGAUGUAUUAACUAUGUAGAUCAUGCUUAUUUGCCUCUUGAGAGAUGGCUUCUCUCCUCAAAUUCAAUGGAGCUGUAAUUUGAAAAAUCAGGCCUGUAGGCACUUUUAGGAUAUAAUGACAUUUGCACACAUGAUCACAUGCUUCAGGGAAAAAAAUGAAAUCAGGAGGACACACUGGUAAGCUGUGGGCUUAUUGUGGGCACCACAGCAUACAAAGUCACUAUAUGAAUUCCCAGAUUAGGACACAGUUUGAUGGUUUUCUUGGUUCUCUUAAGAGCUUGGUGGAAAUUAAGUCUGUUUUACAUAAGGUAACCUCAAGUCCCCUGGCUGCUAAAAUGAUAUAAUGGUUUGCUCUGAAAUUAGCUACUAAAGUAACACAAUUCUUGCUAUCUGAGUAUAAAAGCAGAAGGCAGAAAUUCAUUCUUACAGAGUAAGAACUCAUUUUUUGCCAUAGAGUAAAACAUUCCAACCCUCCAAAGUCAGUCUAGGGAUUUGGGUUUCAUUUUUUCCUUUAAAAAGACAUUUUUCCCCUGGAUAUUCGGAAGAAUGUAAACAAAAGCCACAGAAAACACAAGUUAGGGCACUGAAGUAUAGCGUAGCACUCUCUUAUGGGAAAAAUGCCAGUGUGCUGUGGCAGAAGGCAGAUGAACACUGUCUCUUCUCCCGCUCCCCACUUCAAACCAGAGUCUCAUGUAGUUUCCCUACCCAGAAAGGAAGAGAAAACAAAUAAUAGCCAUUGUGACAACAAAGACGUGAGAUUUCAUAAAAUAGAUUACUUUUGGUGGAACAAAUACCUGACACCUUUCAACCUCAAAUAGUACAGUCUGAGACGCCACAGUCCAGGUUUCAAUCUUAACGCUAUGAAAUUCUGGAGUUAGUUUUAUUUCAUUCCAAAACUUGGAGUCUUAAGAUGCUUUAAGAACACUAAUUGUGGUGGACAUUUUAUUGGGUAAUUAUAUUUAUCAUGAUCUCCUCCACCUUGUCUCUGCUCCUCUGUCCCAUUUUGUAGCACUCCAAUCUUGUGACUUCCAAUUAGGUGACAAGAAGUGUCUAAAUUCUUAUCUGUGGUAUUUCAUCAUAAAUUUUGUAUAAGACUAUUAUAUGAACUGACAACAGCUAUGGGCCUGGAGACAAAAGGAUUAAGACACACUAAAAAGAUUCCAGUAAAGGAUUACAGGUUACCUUGGUGCAUUAAUCAGAAUCCACUUAAAGUUUUGACAAUGGGACUAGAGCCAACUGGAUGAAGAGUAAGUUCUCUGCUUCUGCCAAUAGUAGCAACUGUUGUGAAUAAAUGCAUCACAAGAAAAGCAGACUGA
rnacentral:lncRNA from 1 species